rnacentral:misc_RNA from 1 species
AAGGAUCAUUACCGAACCGUCGACACGAGUUGUUGCUGGUCCCCCAAAAGGGGGCAUGUGCACACUCUGUUUACACAUCCACUCACACCUGUGCACCCUCUGUAGUUCUAUGGCCUUGGGGGCUCUGUCCCCUUGCCGUGGUCCUACGUCUUUACACACACACCGUAACAAAGUCUCAUGGAAUGUAUGUCGCGUUUAACGCAAUACAAUACAACUUUCAGCAACGGAUCUCUUGGCUCUC